rnacentral:lncRNA from 1 species
ACGAUAUACAUCAAAUAUUCUCCAAGAUAAAUACAAAGAAAAUUUGAAUAAAUUAUCCACAUAAUAUAGAUAAAUAUCACCAAAAUUCAAGACACAUCAACAAAUCUUCCCCUUGGCUUGAAUUUCCUCUAUCAACAAAGCAGUUAACCAUCUUGUCAACAUGCCCCCACUGGGGUGCUAUUGAGAGUCACAUAUUUUAGCAAAGUUUAGGUCGCACCUAAACUUGCUAUCUGAUCCCUAAAUAAAAUGACAUCUGCCAUCGAGUUCUUCACACAC